rnacentral:rRNA from 1 species
AUGAGUACUUUCUGUUGGAACUGCCGCGGUGCGGGCAACACCGCGACAGUCCAAGAACUUCGUGAUUUCACGAGGAAGCUUUCCCCUACCCUUUUAUGUAUUGUUGAAACUCAGAUAGAAGGAUCUAGGGUAGAGAAUUUAGCUGGCACAUUGGGAUAUGAUAAUGUGUAUGCAGUUGAUAGUGAAGGUAGAAGUGGUGGAAUUUGA